UGCUUGGACACUCUUCUUCUU
rnacentral:miRNA from 1 species